UACGUAGGGUGCGAGCGUUAAUCGGAAUUACUGGGCGUAAAGCGUGCGCAGGCGGUGAUGUAAGACCGAUGUGAAAUCCCCGGGCUCAACCUGGGAACUGCAUUUGUGACUGCAUCGCUGGAGUGCGGCAGAGGGGGAUGGAAUUCCGCGUGUAGCAGUGAAAUGCGUAGAUAUGCGGAGGAACACCGAUGGCGAAGGCAAUCCCCUGGGCCUGCACUGACGCUCAUGCACGAAAGCGUGGGGAGCAAACAGG
rnacentral:rRNA from 1 species